GCCUACGGGUGGCUGCAGUUAGGAAUCUUCCACAAUGGGCGAAAGCCUGAUGGAGCGACGCCGCUUGAGGGAUGAAGGUUUUCGGAUUGUAAACCUCUGAACGAGUGACGAAAGAUAACCAAAAUGACGGUAGCUCGGUAAUAGCACCGGCUAACUCCGUGCCAGCAGCCGCGGUAAUACGGAGGGUGCAAGCGUUACCCGGAAUCACUGGGCGUAAAGGGCGUGUAGGCGGGAUGUUAAGUCUGACUUUAAAGACUGUGGCUCAACCACAGGAGUGGGCUGGAUACUGGCAUUCUAGACAACUGGAGAGGCGAUUGGAAUUACUGGUGUAGCGGUGGAAUGCGUAGAUACCAGUAGGAACGUCAAUGGCGAAGGCAGGUCGCUGGACAGUUUGUGACGCUGAGGCGCGAAAGUGUGGGGAGCAAACCGGAUUAGAUACCCCAGUAGUC
rnacentral:rRNA from 1 species